AGUAGAGCAAGGUCCGCAGGAGGUAGGGCGCAGCGGCUCGGGUCCCCGCCACCAGCGGGCGCAGCAGCGCCUGGGCCGCCGCGUGUGCCUGAAGCAGCGGCGUGGGGAUGCGCUCUUUGAGCGCCAGCUCCUGGCGAGCGAAGCACAGCUGCCAUCCAGAGGUGCUCGGCUGCUCUGGGAGGCUGCCCGGCACUAGGUAGAAAGAGGCCGAUUCAGAGACCAGUGGACCCGCCCACGAGUGGCUCCGAGCCGUGUCAGGCCAGCCUGUCACGGUCACCACCGGGAUCAAGUCGAAGAGCAGGAGGUGGCGUGGGGGCUCUGGAGUUGCCAGGAGGACCGUGGUGACACCUGCGUGACGAGCUGCAUGAACUAGCCGUGGGGCGCCUGGGACCGGGAUCAGGGACUCAGCAACCUCAGCCAACUUAACGAAGAACCAGGAAGUUACUUGGGUCGGGCAUAAUGUGGGCCAUGCCUUUGGAGCCUCCGACGGCUUUGGGACUUGGCUUUCGUCGGCGUCCAAGGCGUCGCUGCUCAGUGUUUCCAAUGGCUCAGGAGUUUCAGGAUUGGUAAUGUCCUUAUAAGACGAUUGGGACUCUGAAAGGUCACUAGAUGAUUUUUGCAAAGACAUGUGUGGCUCAGGUUCAGGGACAUAAUCAUGUGACGGAUCUACAGAGUUUUCCCGGUCGGUGGGACUCUCUUUGCUAUGGGUUUGGUGAGUCAUAUCACUUUCUUCUGGGACAGGAGGUCCUAAGCAAUCCUGCCAGGCCUCCCGGACCAAAAUUCCACGCAUCAGUUCUGGAAGGCGGAGCCAUGCAGAACAGGAUUCCAGAUCCAGUAGCAGCUCGGGCCCAGUGCCAUCCAGAGAAAACACAGGCACAAGGAGUGUAAAGCCGGCAUCAUAAUGAGGUCCCCGGGAGUAGGGACCUAAGGGGGCGUGCCCUAAAUCUAGGGAACCUUCGCGAAUCCCACCACGAAGCAGCAAGAGUUCUGCCUGGGGUGGAAAACGAGGGUCUUGGCGGUGAACCAGACCUAAAGAAGAGAAAGGGUCGUGAAGGUAUCCUGGUUCAAAGUCGGGGCAGGAAAUGGCGAGGCUGGGGUUUGCAAAUUCCCACACUUACCGAGUAGAGCGAAGACAAAAUCCUUGGCUCGGAGAAGAUCAGCUCCAGGCUUGGGCCCUUCACUCCAACUCUCCUGAACACGGAGCUCCUGAAUUAACUGAGUGAGCUCCUGCAGCUGGGCGCCCGAGCAGAAAUCUAUGUCUGUGAGAGGCCGGGCUGGGGCUGGGGGCGGUGGUCCCCACCAGGGGGCACCCCCCCAGACGGUGGAAGCCAUGCUUCGCUAGCGUUUGGUGCAGUUAGCUUUGGCAGGCCUUUCUUUUGCGGCCCCAAACUUGUCCAGUUUUCCCCUCCCUCUGAGGCAGAUCAAGGGUUACAGACAGGCCACAAGUGGGUCUUGGAGAUGAUGUGAUCUGUAUUUAGUCUUCCUGAUGAACAAAUGACUAUUGCCUUCGGUUUUUUCUAAGCAGGUUGCCCCACGGUAAAUCGGUUCACCUGACUCAGCAGGUUAAAAAAAAAAAAAAAGGCUAUUUGGUCCCUCCUGGGAAUACAAUAGCCAAUCUUUACCACGAGCCUUUGCCCACCUCCCUUUACCUCUUUUUGAGAAGGGCUUAUUGGUCCGCGGCUUUCCGAUGAAGGGGUAGCUUCAAAGGUGGUGGACAGAAAGCAACAUAAAAGAUUCUACAGGUAACUUCCUGGUGGUCACAUGUCCACGCCCUUUCUGGAAGCUGUCUGGGUGGCUCCGGACUGGUUCCGCCUCCUGUGAGAGUUCGUUCAGUCACGCCUCUCACCCUGCUGAGAUGUUGUUACCCUGGGAGUUGUAGUUUGUGUUCCACGAUACAGGUGCAGCGGUGCCUACACACCCUUUCCGUUGUUUCAAAGUAGUGCCUACUGGAAGCUGUAGUUUGUUUGUUUGUUUUCCUUUUUAUCCCUUCAAUUUAUUUAGCUAUUUGAGACUGGGUCUCACUGUGCACCUCUGGAUGGCUUGGAACUUGCUAUGUAGACCUGACUGACUGCAUCUCAAACAGUUCAUCCUGCCUCUGCCUCCUGAGUUCUGAGAUUAAAGACAUAUGGUACCUUUUAUACAAAGUCUUAUGUAGCCCAAGAUGGCCUGGAGUCACCAUGUAGCCCAGGCUGACCCUGAACUCACAGCAGGCUUCCUAUUUCAGCUUCCUUGAUGAGAGAAGUUACAGGUUCCUGCCACUACACCCAGCUGGAGACAGUAUAUUAUUCUGUCUAAUCAGUCCUACACAAACACUCCUUGGAAUUGAAGAAUAAUCGGUUGGAUCCGAACAGUAAAUAAUGAACAUUUCCUUCGGUCCAGUUUUGAGGCUCCAUGGCCUCUUAGACAAGGCUCUUUAAAGGAAAUUCUGACUUCAUUCUGUUUUUAUCUAACUUGAGCUAGGGCCUCACUGUCUAGCUAAGGCUGGCCUGAAACUCACUAUGUCUAUCAGGGGGGCUAGUUUUGAACUCAGAGAUCCACCUGCCUCUGCCUCCCAGGAAUCAAAGGUCUCUGAUCAUUUGAGAGAAGCUAUGGCUUGGAAAUGUCAGGAGAUGGAACAACUGGACACUUUUUUUUUAAAGAUUUAUUUUAGGUAAAUGAGUGCUCUGUCUGCAUGUACACUUGUGUGCCAGAAGAGGGCAUCAGAUCCCUUAUGGAUGGUUGUGAGCCAUCGUGUAGUUGCUGGGAAUUGAACUCAGGUCCUCUGGAAAAGCAGCCAGUACUCUUAACCGCUGAGCCGUCUCUCCAGCCCUUUGACUCUUUUAAAAGAAGGGAAAAGCUGAGCGUGGCCUUUAAUCUUAGUGCUUGGGGUACAGAAGCAGGCUGAUCUCUGUGAGCUCAAGGCUGGCUUGGUCUGCACAGAGUUCUAGGUAGUGAGGACUGAAUAGUGAGACCUUGUCAAAAUAAAAUAAAGUAAAAUAAAAUAAAACAAAAU
rnacentral:lncRNA from 1 species